CCGACCUUAGCUCAGUUGGUAGAGCGGAGGACUGUAGUGGGAAUAGAUAUCCUAGAGGGCAUCCUUAGGUCGCUGGUUCGAAUCCGGCAGGUCGGA
rnacentral:tRNA from 1 species